GAAUUUCCAUGUGGAUUCCAUGGUUGCACUCAUACUGCAGCCUUUCCUGCUAGGACAGCAAUGUCUGAGUCCCUCUCAAUCUCCCUGGCUGCUUAUUUUCACGAGAUUUGUAUAAAAUAAAUACAGAUGAGUCUUCUAUCUCUCUGCUGAAUUUAGGUAAAAGCAGCUAAUGGAUUUACGAGGGACUGGCAGAUAUGUGACACAGAAGCAUACAAAUACUAUAGUUACAAGCUACAUUCCUGUGGAAACUGGACUAGAAGUAAAGGAAUGCACACACUGGACUUUGUAUCAUCAGACUUUGAUAAUAUGCUAAAGGAACAGUUAAUAAGAAACCACAAAUGUAGAUUUAAAAGGAGUAAGAAGUAAUCUGAGUUUUAAUAAGCAACACAGAAAGCUCAGUUAUGCCCAUAAGGACAGCAAGGCAUUGCAUAACCUCAUGACUUCGCAGGGGAGGUUUCUUGUUCCAGUGAGACCCUGACGCCUCCUGGAACUUCCCACAGUACAGACGGGUUUUGAAAUAUUUAUGAUACUUCUACAUGCAUUUGGGAGCAGGUGGCUCCUGCAAGAAUUAAGACUUGCUUUGUAAGCCAGAGGAGAAGGUCAACAGACCUUGGCUUGGUUCUUUCCUUUGUACUUUGAACUACUAGAGGAGUCACAACAGUAAAAGCAAAACAAGAACUGCAGCUAUGACUGGUUUCAGCUCUUGACAGAUGUAUUUGCAACAGACAACAGUGCCCUCCCCAGAUUAUCCACAAUGAGAAUGUAUUCCAUGCCUUUUUAAAUUCACUUAUGGGUCACAAAUAAUUUGCACAAGUAUCAUUAUUAGAUAUUUAAACUAUGAGCUGGUUUGCUUAGUUGAGUAAGCAUGAUAAGACACAUUAUUCUUGCUACCCGAUUGGAUGAGCAUGUAAGCAGUUUUUAAUAAAUAAUGGAUAGUCUAAAAUAUAA